UCAACCACACAUGCACACAUAGAGUCAGACUCAGGGUGAUUGAGAGGGAAUUAUUUGCAUAGGAGAAUUUGAUGCAAAUACCUUGUCUGAAAUGUUACACACCUUCCCCUCUUAAGGUUGUUCCUGACAAAGUGGACCAUAUUUAUUUAGGUGUGUAACAGUGGUUUGCAGGCCUGGUUUGGCAUCAAAGGGGAAAACUGUGACUUCAGUACUUCCAGAAACUGAGGCUUCAAUGUAGCUGGAAGUUGCUGGCUAUAGCACAAGGAAGCUCAGAUAAAGAGAAGAAAAUAGCCAAAUGGGUAGACAGGGUGAAUUAUUUUGGUGGCUACAUAUAAUAGAUGGAAAAUUGUUACAUAGACCACUUUCAUCAAGCUUUUACACUUACUUGAAAAGUUGAUCAUGCUGGAAAAUGCCCUGUUGGAGGGACUUCAAAGGUCACAGAGAAGACUUGGAAGAUAUUCAGCAAACCUAGUGACAAACUCAGGAACAUCUUAUUACUUACUAUAUUUCAUCAUGACAAUGCAUCAUAUAAGUAACACUGACAGAAAAGGUCUGACCCAAGAAUUAAAGCAGAGACCAGAAGUAUUGCUCAUACUGCUAUCAGGUUAUAAAAAUAUUUGUUUAAUUGUAACUCACAUAUAUCUUGAGAUGACAGGAGUGAUAACAAGCUGCUGCUGAGCUGAUGUGGGGA